rnacentral:rRNA from 1 species
UACGAAGGGGGCUAGCGUUGUUCGGAAUUACUGGGCGUAAAGCGCACGUAGGCGGAUAUUUAAGUCGGGGGUGAAAUCCCGGGGCUCAACUCCAGAACUGCCUUUGAUACUGGAGAGCUUGAGUCCGGAAGAGGUGAGUGGAACUCCGAGUGUAGAGGUGAAAUUCGUAGAUAUUCGGAAGAACACCAGUGGCGAAGGCGGCUCACUGGUCCGGUACUGACGCUGAUGUGCGAAAGCGUGGGGAGCAAACAGG